CUUAGGCUUAGGCUUAGGCUUAGGCUUAGGCUUAGGCUUAGGCUUAGGCUUAGGCUUAGGCUUAGGCUUAGGCUUAGGCUUAGGCUUAGGCUUAGGCUUAGGCUUAGGCUUAGGCUUAGGCUUAGGCUUAGGCUUAGGCUUAGGCUUAGGCUUAGGUUUAG
ensembl:ncRNA cTel29B.1 ncRNA